CCUACGGGCGGCAGCAGUGGGGAAUAUUGGACAAUGGGCGAAAGCCUGAUCCAGCCAUGCCGCGUGUGUGAAGAAGGCCUUCGGGUUGUAAAGCACUUUCAGUGGGGAAGAAAGCCUUGGGGCUAAUACCCUCGAGGAAGGACAUCACCCACAGAAGAAGCACCGGCUAACUCCGUGCCAGCAGCCGCGGUAAUACGGAGGGUGCGAGCGUUAAUCGGAAUUACUGGGCGUAAAGCGCGCGUAGGCGGUCUGAUAAGCCGGUUGUGAAAGCCCCGGGCUCAACCUGGGAACGGCAUCCGGAACUGUCAGGCUAGAGUGCAGGAGAGGAAGGUAGAAUUCCCGGUGUAGCGGUGAAAUGCGUAGAGAUCGGGAGGAAUACCAGUGGCGAAGGCGGCCUUCUGGACUGACACUGACGCUGAGGUGCGAAAGCGUGGGUAGCAAACAGGAUUAGAUACCCCGGUAGUC
rnacentral:rRNA from 1 species